GGAAAACUUGAGCUGCUGGAAAAAUUUUGCUGUGAUAUAAAACAGAGACCUUUUUUUUAAAGUAGUAUUCAUUUUCAGAGUUGUGGCUUGCAGCCAUUGACCUUCUGAUCAGCUGUUAUUAUGAAGUCUGCUUUCCCACCCAGUGUUUGCUGUGGGACGCCAACAAGAUGAUAGGAGGAACAGCUUUCGGUGAAUUAAUCAGAGCAUUACUUAUUAC
rnacentral:lncRNA from 1 species